rnacentral:misc_RNA from 1 species
UUCUGUCAUUUAUAGGGAUUUCAAACUAAAAUCACGAUAAACACUGAAUGAUGAUAACUUAUUUUAAUUUUGUAUAUGUACCUAAAGUGCUAUUUGUAUACAUCAAUGAUAAUUUCAAUUUUUAUUUAGUUUUAAACAUUCAUUGUAAAGGGAUGUUGUCAAUUUAUUGCUGUAAAAAAUAAGAAACAACCGAGUUUUAUGAACAGUUUAAUGGACAGAUAAGAAUACAAUUUACUGAAGGAAAUUUUGGUGUCUUAUGUGUUGUUUUCUGAUCAUGUUACCGAAAUAAACUGUUAAAUACAGG